GAUGAACGCUGGCGGCGUGCCUAAUACAUGCAAGUCGAGCGAACGGACCAGAACUUUGCUCCUCUGAUUUUAUCGCCCGACGGGACCGUCACUUGUGGUUAACCUAACUAUCCGACUGGGAUAAUUUUGGGAGACCGUAGCUACUACCGGAUAAUAUAUUGACUUUCAUGGUUCCAACGUGAAAGUCGCUCUUUCUGUCACUUAUAGCUUGCUCCGCGCUGCAUUAGUAAGUUGGUAAGGUAACGGCUUACCAAGGCAACGAUGCAUAGCCGACCUGAGAGGGUGAUCGGCCACACUGGAACUGAGACACGGUCCAGACUCCUACGGGAGGCAGCAGUAGGGAAUCUUCCGCAAUGGGCGAAAGCCUGACGGAGCAACGCCGCGUGAGUGAUGAAGGUCUUCGGAUCGUAAAACUCUGUUAUUAGGGAAGAACAUAUGUGUAAGUAACUGUGCACAUCUUGACGGUACCUAAUCAGAAAGCCACGGCUAACUACGUG
rnacentral:rRNA from 1 species